UUUCUACUCUCAACUUGUAGAAAUCAUUUUAUUCUCAAUCCCAUUAUAAUUUAUAAGCCAAUCAGCUAAAACUCCUAUUAUUUUUUCUAUAAUUUUCAAUUGAUAAUAAUAAGAAUAAUAAAAUCAACUAGGCCUCCUCCAACACCUACACCGAUUACAUGAAAUUCUACCCUAAACAAAAUGCUCCACAACCUCAAUCCCACACAUUCAUCCCCUCCCACCUAUCGCACUCGUAGCUUGUUGCCGUCAUGGAAGUAUAUGUGGGAUGGAUUAUUAAUUACGUUGUGAACCAGUCAGGUUGGUGAUCAUUUGAUUGGAAAUAGAAGGGUUUUUUUUUUCUUUCUUUUUUUGGCUACAAUUGGCAUAAUUGAGUUCGUACUUGGGAUUCCUUAAAUCUAUUUAUGAAGAAGAAUAUAACUAACGACGUUAGCUUUUGUCUGUUUGGCAAAAAUAUAUUUUUAUUUUAAAUUCACUACAAUAUAUGGCGUGACAGUUAUUUUCACCAUUGGAUAGUAUUAUAUUUGAUGUGGCAGCUUUAUAUUAAAAGUCAAGCAGAUCCUAGCAGAUAAAUUCCAAGCAGAUGAUUCAGAUCCAUUAAGGUGUUGUGUGAUAGAGUGUAUUAGGUUGUACAAGAGGUAUUUUUGGUAGUUAAAUAGGGUGUACUUAGUUAAUUGGAAGGAUCAAAGACAUCGUCAACUUGUCCAAGAGUGUUGCCAUUUGGAACCGUAUUAGUAUAGGAAGGAUUCAUAUCAGCUUGAGCUAUUGCAAGCACAAGCAUGUUCAUCAAAACCACAGCCCUCAACACACUAGCAUCUAUGGUUCAACUGUUUUUUUUAUUUAUUGAACUCUGUUUGAUUGCCGGAGUUUGUUGGUGAAGGAAGUGGAAGCUAUAAAGCCACAAUUUAUAGGGAGACCCUUUGGCCAUCUAUGGUUCUAAGCAUGAUUGUAGCUAAUUACUUGAUCUGUAAUGGAGCACAAAUUGAAUGUGUCUCUCUUUUGAUUUCAUGGCGAUGAUCAGUGAAGACCACCCAAAGUUCACUCCAAAAUAUUUCUCUGGUGGAUGUAAUUUAGGCGGUUUGGCAUAUAUUUGUUUUCCUAUUGUAAGGAAAUGACAGAAUUCUAUAAUUCAAAAAAAAUAGAAAACAUGGAGUAUAGCCGUACGGUAAACAAAGAUUUUAAAAACCGA
rnacentral:lncRNA from 1 species